GACGAACCGUGCGAACGUUGUUCGGAAUCACUGGGCUUAAAGGGCGCGUAGGCGGCAGCGUUAGUCCGGGGUGAAAGCCCCCAGCUUAACUGGGGAAGGGCCUUGGAUACUGCGUUGCUCGAGGAAGGUAGGGGUCGAGGGAACUUCUGGUGGAGCGGUGAAAUGCGUUGAUAUCAGAAGGAACGCCGGUGGCGAAAGCGCUCGACUGGACCUUUUCUGACGCUGAGACGCGACGGCGUGGGGAGCAAACCGG
rnacentral:rRNA from 1 species